AAACAUACAUACAUAUAUAUAUACACUAAUGAAAGUGCUUAAACAAUGCAAGGUUAAUGAAAUAAUCCAUGAUAAUAUGUCCAAAGAUAUAUAGCAAAUGAGUUUCUUUGAAAAAAAAAUAAAAAAUAAUAUAAAGAAUAAAAACUUGAGCUAAAAAACUCAAUUGAAGCAAAAAUAAAAUUAAACGGAUAAUUUGCAAAUAAAUAACAACUGUUAAACAACCUGAAGGACUAAAUAGGGAUUAAAAAAAAAUAAACCAUCUAAUGUGGACUAAAUUGAGUAUACGCGCAAAUUCUAGAAAUAAUUUAAAAGAAUCAAAGAAAAUAUAAAUAGGGCCUAAAUAGAUGGCGGCACAAAUGGGGAGGACUAAACGCAAAAAUUCCCCUUUUAAAGUGAGAAUGCGUGGAUCAAGCCAACGCAUUGACUUCCCUCCCCCCUCUUUUAAUGGUGCCUUCUGAAUUUUCAUUAAAACCUUUAUCAUUAUUAUUAUUUUUUAUUAUUAUUUUUUUUUACCUUGCAAACCCCAAAAGUCUCAACCCCCUCUGUUACGGUUUCACCCAAACAUGACGCCGGACCACCACCAUAUCUGGUUGCCGACGGUGCGAAAAAAUGGCCUAAGACCAUGACCACGAAGCCCUGGUAAGUGAGCUCCCUUUCUUUGUUCUCAUACAUCAAUAAAAAAGAUAAAAAAAGAAGAUGAAAACAACUUGAAAUCCUGUUUUGCUUUAGAAAAUAAAAGGGAGAGUUUUAUCACACAAGAAAGCAAAGGGCCUCAACCCCAUUUCGGGUCCGAAUCCAAAGACGGGGGAAAUCUCCGAUGACACGGCCACGAGGUAAGUCCCUCUCCUCUCUUAGUUGCGUGUAAAAAAAGAAAAUGUCACAAGAAAAUCAAAAUAGACUAAAAAUAAAGAAAAUCCAGAAAUCAAAUCACCUUUUUGAAAUAGUCUUCUUUUUGGAUUAAUACUCUCUGCUUCUUUUAUUUCCAAAAAAUCCCCCCUUUUUUGCAUUCGCUUUUUUCUUUGGCUUUAUAGCCAAGAAUAUUACAAAUACAUUAUCUAUGUUCUACUGCUUCUGCUUUGCGUGUUUCUCUUUCGUUUUGUAGGGCUAAGCGGGAUCAACGGAAAGGGCGCAGGUAGUGGUACAGGCGAUGGGACGGGGCACCUAUCUCGGGCGUUGAACGCGCUGACAGCACGUGAGGAGCAGUGCCUAAUGUGCUGGUAUGAAACCCUAGGGUUUCCUGGUUUAGUAUUUUGGGCCUAUUGGGGCCAAUAGGAAUUGGGUCAGAUUUUUUUAAAAUGGGUUUGGGUUUAUUGGGCUUGAAUUUGUAAAAUAGACUGUUAACAAUUAUUUUUUGAGUUGUUGAGCCUCGGACAAAUUUGGGCCUCUACAAAUAUAAUAGACACAAUUGAAUAUUUAAAAUCACAUUU
rnacentral:lncRNA from 1 species